AUAAUAUAUUACUAAUGCAACUUACAAGAUCAUCAAAUUAUUUUGUAAAUUCUCUCCUAUGUUGAUUAUCAGUAUUCGUAUUAUUCUCUCUAAAUAGUACACUCUUAUGUUCACUACAACAAAUUAUGAUUUUUAAUUUUACAUCGACAUAGAAAAAUUACUUAGAACAUUAAACAGUAUGCUAAGAUACUUAUUCAAUAAAAUCUUUAAUUUUUUUACAAUUAUUUAGAACAUAAAAGUAUGCCUUAGAUAGCUCAUUCACAUCUAUAAAUUCAUAUCUCCUUGCACCAAG
rnacentral:lncRNA from 1 species